rnacentral:rRNA from 1 species
GAUGAACGCUAGCGGCAGGCCUAACACAUGCAAGUCGAGGGGCAUCAUGGCGUAGCAAUACGCUGAUGGCGACCGGCGCACGGGUGCGUAACGCGUAUGGAACCUACCCACCGCAGGGGGAUAACCCGCCGAAAGGCGGACUAAUACCCCAUGGUUCCCCGACCCUGCCUGGGGUUGGGGGUAAAGCCUACGGGCGGCGGUGGAUGGCCCUGCGUGCCAUUAGCUGGCUGGUGGGGUAACGGCCCACCAGGGCGACGAUGGCUAGGGGGUCUGAGAGGACGAUCCCCCACACUGGUACUGAGACACGGACCAGACUCCUACGGGAGGCAGCAGUGAGGAAUAUUGGUCAAUGGGCGGAAGCCUGAACCAGCCAUGCCGCGUGCAGGAUGACGGCCCUACGGGUUGUAAACUGCUUUUCCCCGGGGCGAAUAACCCCCUCCGCGACGGGGGAGUGGCCGGUACCGGGGGAACGUAAGGAGUACGGCGUAACGUCCGUGCCACGCAGCCGCGGUAACUAGUCUACG